UACGUAGGGUGCAAGCGUUAAUCGGAAUUACUGGGCGUAAAGGGCGCGUAGGCGGCGCGGUAAGUCACUUGUGAAAUCUCUGAGCUUAACUCAGAACGGCCAAGUGAUACUGCAGUGCUAGAGUGCAGAAGGGGCAAUCGGAAUUCUUGGUGUAGCGGUGAAAUGCGUAGAUAUCAAGAGGAACACCUGAGGUGAAGACGGGUUGCUGGGCUGACACUGACGCUGAGGCGCGAAAGCCAGGGGAGCAAACGGG
rnacentral:rRNA from 1 species